rnacentral:rRNA from 1 species
GUGCCAGCCGCCGCGGUAAUACGUAGGUGGCGAGCGUUGUCCGGAAUUACUGGGCGUAAAGGGUGCGUAGGUGGAAUAUUAAGUCAGAUGUGAAAUUCCUAAGCUUAACUUAGGAACUGCAUUUGAAACUGAUAUUCUAGAGUGCAGGAGAGGAAAGCGGAAUUCCUAGUGUAGCGGUGAAAUGCGUAGAUAUUAGGAAGAACACCAGUGGCGAAGGCGGCUUUCUGGACUGUAACUGACACUGAGGCACGAAAGCGUGGGGAGCAAACAGGAUUAGAUACCCUGGUAGUCCACGCUGUAAACUAUGAGUGCUAGGUGUAGGGGGUAUCGACACCCUCUGUGCCGCAGCAAACGCAAUAAGCACUCCGCCUGGGGAGUACGGUCGCAAGACUAAA